AUUUAGAACCAACUCUACGUUUUUUAUUCGACAUUUAAACCCAAACAAAUUUUUAAAAUACAAUUUAAUAUUUACUCCUCAGCCUCUUAAACUUUGCGAUCUAUGGAUCAUCCGUGUCUCUGUUUCUGUGUCCCGCCAUUUACGAUUGUGUUAUGUGACCAACAAACGACCAACUGCCUUUACUUUUCCAUAACUAAUGUUAGAUACCCUUUAAGGUUGGGUGGACUCAAGCCGUAACUCAAAACUUAGUUGAGGCUUCUCAUGAAAUUCUACACAUGAGACAACUUUGAGUAAAAAUAAAAUUGCAAUAUUACUCCAAUGGUUCACCUGGAUUUGAAAACCUGAAGUCCUACCUUGUGAAUGAAAUUUGUAAUUUUUAAUAAAUUUCAAAAUAUGAAACCAGCUGGAAUCUGGAUCAAAUGUUUGAUCCGUAGUAGGCCCAUCAGCCCAUCACUGAGUUCUAACUGGUCACAUAGUGAAAACUCUGUUGUUUUAAAAUUAUCAUUGAACACACUUUCAGUGGCAAAUCUCACACUCAAUCAAUUUUUUUUUCCUUUUUAUUCAAUAAAUAGUGAAAUAAAAAAUGAACUUUCCUAGACGUUUUUAGCACCGUCUUAUGUCGUGUUAGGUACUUC